rnacentral:rRNA from 2 species
ACGGAUCUCUUGGUUCUGGCAUCGAUGAAGAACGCAGCGAAAUGCGAUAAGUAGUGUGAAUUGCAGAAUUCAGUGAAUCAUCGAAUCUUUGAACGCACAUUGCGCCCCUUGGUAUUCCAUGGGGCAUGCCUGUUCGAGCGUCAUUUG